rnacentral:rRNA from 1 species
UACGUAGGGAGCGAGCGUUACUCGGAAUUACUGGGCGUAAAGAGUGCGUAGGCGGUUUCGUAAGUUAAUGAUGAAAUCCCAGGACUUAAUCCUGGAACUGUCAUUAAGACUGCGUUACUGGAGUACAGAAGAGGAUGGUGGAAUUCUUGGUGUAGAGGUGAAAUUCGUAGAUAUCAAGAGGAAUAUCAAUGGCGAAGGCAGCUGUCUGGGAUGUUACUGACGCUGAUGCACGAAAGCGUGGGGAUCAAACAGG